rnacentral:rRNA from 1 species
CAGCAGUGAGGAAUAUUGGUCAAUGGGCGAAAGCCUGAACCAGCCAAGUAGCGUGCAGGAUGACGGCCCUCUGGGUUGUAAACUGCUUUUAGUCGGGAAUAAAAUGCGGCACGUGUGCCGCUUUGCAUGUACCGUCAGAAAAAGGACCGGCUAAUUCCGUGCCAGCAGCCGCGGUAAUACGGAAGGUCCAGGCGUUAUCCGGAUUUAUUGGGUUUAAAGGGAGCGCAGGCGGACUUUUAAGUCAGCUGUUAAAUUCGGUGGCUCAACCAUCGCAUGCAGUUGAAACUGGAGGUCUUGAGUGUACACAGGGAUGCUGGAAUUCAUGGUGUAGCGGUGAAAUGCUCAGAUAUCAUGAAGAACUCCGAUCGCGAAGGCAGGCAUCCGGGGUACAACUGACGCUGAGGCUCGAAAGUGCGGGUAUCAAACAGGAUUAGA